GCUAAAAACUUAGCCUUANCCCUACAAUUAUAUUUACCCUAUUUUACUUACACAAAAUAAAACAUUCUUUAAGCUUAGUAAAGGAGAUAAAAAAGUUUUUUAGAGCUAUAAAAUUAGUACCGCAAGGGAAAAAUGAAAUAAAAAUGAAACAAAAUUCAAGCAUAAUAUAGUAGAGUUUUCCCCUCGUACCUUUUGCAUCAUGAUUCAACUAGUUUAACCACGCAAAAAGAAUUUAAGUUUGACUUCCCGAAACUAAGUGAGCUACUUCAGGGCAGCUAAAUGAGCCAACCCGUCUCUGUUGCAAAAGAGUGGGAUGACCCUUAAGUAGAGGUGAUAAACCUAACGAACUUAGUGAUAGCUGGUUAUUCAGAAAAAGAAUUUUAGUUCAACUUAAAAUUACAUAAAUAAAAUAAAAUAAAAUUUUAAUUUUAAAGCAAUUCAAAUAAGGUACAGCCUAUUUGAAAUAGAAUACAAUCUAAACUAUAGGGUAAAUAUAAAAAAUUAAUGUAAUAAAGUAGGCCUAAAAGCAGCCAACUUUAAAAUAGCGUCAAAGCUUACUUCCAUAAUUUUUUAAUACUAUUAUUUACAAUGAACCCUUUAUUUUUACUGAAUAUUUCUAUAAAGUUAUAGAACCUUUUAUGUUGAAACUAGUAACAAGAAGUUAAACUUCUCCUCAAUAUAAGUAUAAGUCGACUAGGAUAAACCAUCGACAAUUAACGCUUAAAUUAAAUGUAUUAACUCCACAAGAAAAACUUACAUUACCCCACGUUAAUCUUACACCAGAACAUUUAAGGAAAGAUUNAAAAAA
rnacentral:rRNA from 1 species